CAGUAGCCACGGUAAUACGUAGGGCGCAAGCGUUAACCGGAAUUAUUGGGCGUAAAGAGCUCGUAGGCGGUUUGUCGCGUCUGCCGUGAAAGUCCGGGGCUCAACCCCGGAUCUGCGGUGGGUACGGGCAGACUAGAGUGACGUAGGGGAGACUGGAAUUCCUGGUGUAGCGGUGAAAUGCGCAGAUAUCAGGAGGAACACCGAUGGCGAAGGCAGGUCUCUGGGCAUUAACUGACGCUGAGGAGCGAAAGCAUGGGGAGCGAACAGGAUUAGAUACCCCGGUAGUCCCUGUCUCUUAUAC
rnacentral:rRNA from 1 species